UACGGAGGAUCCGAGCGUUAUCCGGAUUUAUUGGGUUUAAAGGGUGCGUAGGCGGGUUGUUAAGUCAGCGGUAAAAUUGCGGUGCUCAACGCCGUAGAGCCGUUGAAACUGGCGGCCUUGAGUGGGCGAGAAGUAUGCGGAAUGCGUGGUGUAGCGGUGAAAUGCAUAGAUAUCACGCAGAACCCCGAUUGCGAAGGCAGCAUACCGGCGCCCUACUGACGCUGAGGCACGAAAGUGCGGGUAUCGAACAGG
rnacentral:rRNA from 1 species